GCCCUGUGGGAUUCAACUGGUGGCAGCAAUAGACUAGGUUACGGCCCUGUGGGAUUCAACUGGUGGCAGCAAUAGACUAGGUUACAGCCCUGUGGGAUUCAACUGGUGGCAGCAAUAGACUAGGUUACGGCCCUGUGGGAUUCAACUGGUGGCAGCAAUAGACUAGGUUACAGCCCUGUGGGAUUCAACUGGUGGCAGCAAUAGACUAGGUUACGGCCCUGUGGGAUUCAACUGGUGGCAGCAAUAGACUAGGUUACGGCCCUGUGGGAUUCAACUGGUGGCAGGAAUAGACUAGGUUACGGCCCUGUGGGAUUCAACUGGUGGCAGCAAUAGACUAGGUUACGGCCCUGUGGGAUUCAACUGGUGGCAGCAAUAGACUAGGUUACAGCCCUGUGGGAUUCAACUGGUGGCAGCAAUAGACUAGGUUACGGCCCUGUGGGAUUCAACUGGUGGCAGCAAUAGACUAGGUUACGGCCCUGUGGGAUUCUCUGACUGCCUCUGUAAUAGCACCCUAUUCCCUACAUUCCCUGUCCCCCCAACUAAUGCUAAUGACCUAAUAAUACCAGCAUGUUGCCUCGGGCCUGAGUUUUUCCAGUCACAUUCCUGCCCCUGAUGGUUGCUGAUCAGAGGAGCAUAUAUUUCCCUCUGAGUUUCAUUCCAACAGCCUUUCACAUUCCAACACCUGAGAAGUUUUCUGUACGCCAACCUGGCUCUAUUCUCACCCUUUAAUGGUGAUUUCAGACAACUUGUCCCUGGUAAUAUUGGUUAUGAAUAGAUGGUGUCUGCCGUUGGUGUUUCCCUUGGCUGUAUGUUCAUCACAGAUUGACUGGCGUUCAGUUUACGCACGACUCCAGAGGAAGCCUAUGCUAGCCAGCGCUAGCCCCGACAUGAGCCAGACUGGAACCGUCACUUACCCAGCCAGUGUCCCAAAUGGCACACUAUUCCCUAUGCAGCUCACUACUUUUGACCGGGAUCCCAUAUGGUUCUGGUCAAAAGUAAUGCACUACAUGGGGAUAGGGUGCCAUUUUGGACAUGGCCACAGAGUGCAUAUCUACUCACAUUACUUUGC